GGCGGCAUAGCCAAGUGGUAAGGCAGAGGUCUGCAAAACCUUCAUCCCCGGUUCGAAUCCGGGUGCCGCCUUCA
rnacentral:tRNA from 1 species